AAGAAAAAAGUCAAAACCUGAAUGAUGCUUGCAAUGUCUAAAGUAGGUAGGCCUGGUUUUUAAUUUUUUAUUUCAAGCCAUUUUUCUAGAAAGGCAAGACAGAAACAUGUUCAAUAAAUGCAUUUCAUACUUAUUUUUUUAUUCUUAUUAGAAUAUAUGUGUGUACGAAGUUAUCUUCCAUCUUUGCCUUGAGGUCUUUCUAUAUGUUAUUUUAUAAGUGGGAAGCUGCAUUCACACAAAAUUGUAAACAAUUGUAAAUUGUUAAAGAUUUUAAAUUAUAGUUUGUUGUACAAAGUGUAGUGGCUUGAUCUGCAUAUCAUGUCAAGUCAUAAUGAGUAAUUUUGUAGAAUCCCUAAAAACAAACUGCAUUUAUAGUUUAGUACAAUAUGUACAAUAUUCAAUAUGUACAAUAUUCAAUAAUAUUCACUACAAUAUUCAUUAAUACUCUUUGAAUCUUUUGGGAAUAUAGCUCCCAGAAUUCUUGCUCAACUAUCAGCUACUCAGUGUACUGUACAUAAUUUUCUUUAGCAGGCUGAUAAUCAAAAUUAAGAUAAAAAAAACAUGUUGUAAGUAAUGCAUAAGGCUGACCCAAAUGUUGUUGGUUGUCUGAUUUUUGAUGAAAUCAUAUAUUUUCUGAAGGGUAGAAUAUAAAGUUGGGAUGUUCUUCAACUCAGUCUUGAUGAAGACUCUUAUUUAUGUUGUGAUUUUUUUCAAACACAAUAGAUUGUGUUGUGUUUGCCAUUCUGAUUAGAAUAGUAGGGGUGAAUUAUAUAGAAUGAAAUAUAUAAUAUACUAUGAAAAUGUUUUUGGUCAAAUUGAGCUUUGGGUUGCUGGCAUACUGCAUAAAGAUACUAAAAAUUGAAAUAUUCUUUCCAUUAGCAGGGAAUUGCAUGUGGCACGGGUAUAGUAUGACCAAGGAUUUCUGCUUUGCCCCAGUCUCACUGACCACAGCUGCCACAGCCUUCAACUGACUCACCACCUGCAUCCUGCUGAACAUAGGCUGUUGUCCCAUCAGAAAGGGUCAUUGCCUGUAGACUCAAGCUCUCCAUUUUGUUCUGGAAGAACCUCCUUAGUCAUGUAUUCAACACUGAAAGUUGUUCCCAUGGACACAGCUAUAAUGAAAAUGAAAAGGCAUAUUCCUCUGAGGUACAACUUGAUAUUUGGACAAAACCAAGAUGAGAAAAGUAAAGAUACCUUACCUCACAUGGCUAAUCAGUGGUUUCAUGCUUUAUACCAAGUGAAGAAUUUUCACAGAUCAACAAGCU